rnacentral:miRNA from 1 species
AGAGUGUGGGGGGAGGGGAGAC